rnacentral:rRNA from 1 species
UACGAAGGGUGCAAGCGUUAAUCGGAAUUACUGGGCGUAAAGCGCGCGUAGGCGGCUUUGUAAGUCAGAGGUGAAAGCCUGGAGCUCAACUCCAGAACUGCCUUUGAAACUACAUCGCUAGAAUCAUGGAGAGGUUAGUGGAAUUCCGAGUGUAGAGGUGAAAUUCGUAGAUAUUCGGAAGAACACCAGUGGCGAAGGCGACUAACUGGACAUGUAUUGACGCUGAGGUGCGAAAGCGUGGGGAGCAAACAGG